rnacentral:rRNA from 1 species
UACUCCUACGGGAGGCAGCAGUAGGGAAUCUUCCGCAAUGGGCGAAAGCCUGACGGAGCAACGCCGCGUGAGUGAUGAAGGGUUUCGGCUCGUAAAACUCUGUUAUUAGGGAAGAACAAAUGUGUAAGUAACUGUGCAC